AUUGAACGCUAGCGGGAUGCCUUACACAUGCAAGUCGAACGGAGUGGCGAACGGGUGAGUAAUGAAUCGGAACGUGCCCAGUGGUGGGGGAUAACUACGCGAAAGCGUAGCUAAUACCGCAUACUAUUAGAGCGGCCGAUAUCGGAUUAGCUAGUGGGUGGGGUAACGGCUCACCAAGGCGACGAUCCGUAGCUGGUCUGAGUGGAUGACCAGCCACACUGGGACUGAGACACGGCCCAGACUCCUACGGGAGGCAGCAGUGGGGAAUUUUGGACAAUGGGGGAAAGCCUGAUCGAGCCAUCCCGCGUGUGCGAUGAAGGCCUUCGGGUUGUAAAGCACUUUUGGCAGGAAAGCGGUACCUGCAGAAUAAGCAACGGCUAACUACGUGCCAGCAGCCGCGGUAAUAC
rnacentral:rRNA from 1 species